UACGUAGGGUGCAAGCGUUUAAUCGGAAUUACUGGGCGUAAAGCGUGCGCAGGCGGUUUUGUAAGUCUGACGUGAAAUCCCCGGGCUCAACCUGGGAAUUGCGUUGGAGACUGCAAGGCUAGAAUCUGGCAGAGGGGGGUAGAAUUCCACGUGUAGCAGUGAAAUGCGUAGAGAUGUGGAGGAACACCGAUGGCGAAGGCAGCCCCCUGGGUCAAGAUUGACGCUCAUGCACGAAAGCGUGGGGAGCAAACAGG
rnacentral:rRNA from 1 species